rnacentral:rRNA from 1 species
UGGGGAAUCUUGCACAAUGGGGGCAACCCUGAUGCAGCGACGCCGCGUGAGCGAUGAAGCCCUUCGGGGCGUAAAGCUCUUUCGACCGGAACGAUAAUGACGGUACCGGGAGAAGAAGCUGCGGCUAACUACGUGCCAGCAGCCGCGGUAAUACGUAGGCAGCAAGCGUUGUUCGGAGUUACUGGGCGUAAAGAGUGCGUAGGCGGUUUUCUAAGUUCGGUGUGAAAUCUCCCGGCUUAACUGGGAGGGUGCGCCGAAGACUGGGAAGGUUGAGUGUGGGAAAGGCAGGCGGAAUUCCUGGUGUAGCGGUGAAAUGCGUAGAUAUCAGGAGGAACACCUGCGGUGUAGACGGCUGGCUAGACCAUAACUGACGCUGAGGCACGAAAGCGUGGGUAGCAAACA